AAGGGGAAUAACUCCGUUCUCAAUCACAAUCAAGAUCUGUCAAUAAGGUGAUCACGUUGUGUCACAUGCGGCGGGGAGUAGGUUGCCAAGUCAACGAACCUUCAGCCCGGGAAUUGAGUAAUAAAGAGGAGACGGAUUUAUGAAUCUGCUCUCUGUCCUUCCUGCUGGAGCAGCACCAAGCCCGGCUCCCCGUGGCUCCGGCCCUUUACUGACGCUUGACCCUGACCUUCCGUCCCUCAUCCCAUCUCUGCCCUCCAGCGCCCCCCCCCAAUAACAAGCACCCGGGGUGGCCGACACCGGCGGCGGGGACGUGAGAGGAACCAGGCGGGAGUCAGGGUCCGAGCCCAUCACCGAGAGCCCCUCACCCCUCACCGCACGGGCGUCGGGCCUCAGCCUCAAGGGCCAAAAGAGAGCAAGGCCCCCAGUCCCGUGAGAGAGGGCUCUUUGUGCUGCAGGAAGGGCCGUGGGAGACAGUCCUGGCCCAGCCUCUCACUGACAGAUGGGGAAACCGAGGCCAGAGAAUUGCAAAGGCUGUUCCUUAAAGUGUCACAAGAUACCAAGCUAGAAUCCCUCGCCACGGGUCCUGCCCUUCAGAACUGACACCGGCCUGGCCCAAGAAGGUCAUGGGAUGAACAAAAGAAAGGCCUUCUGCGGAAUGACAAAGAUGGGACCCACAUCUCACCAUCCAGCCCUCGGCAGGCCCAGGACUUCCUCCCCGCCCAGCCCUGACAGCCACGCAGUGAUUCCUGCUGAUGCCUCAGGAGCCUGAGGGCAAGAAAAGUGGUGGCGGUCAAAGGCUGGAGGUCAAAGGCUGGAGGUCAAAAGGAAGGAUUGCCUCCCCCAGACUCUAUUAGAGGUCAUCAUGAAGAAAUAAUCACCAGCAGUCAGUUUUCCCUGAGAGGCCUCCUGCUCCCCCAACACCUUCUCUCUUAUCACUCCUCCCCUCUCAGAAGUCUAGAUUUUCCUAAUUUAGAAUAAAUGUUAGUGAUCUGAGUAAAGCCUCUUCCCUCCUUCUAAGCAUCUAUCUCCUUCCUUCUCAU